UACGAAGGGGGCUAGCGUUGCUCGGAAUUACUGGGCGUAAAGGGAGCGUAGGCGGACAGUUUAGUCAGAGGUGAAAGCCCAGGGCUCAACCUUGGAAUUGCCUUUGAUACUGGCUGUCUUGAGUACGGGAGAGGUGUGUGGAACUCCGAGUGUAGAGGUGAAAUUCGUAGAUAUUCGGAAGAACACCAGUGGCGAAGGCGACACACUGGCCCGUUACUGACGCUGAGGCCCGAAAGCGUGGGGAGCAAACAGG
rnacentral:rRNA from 1 species